AACGCACCUUGCGCUCCUUGGUAUUCCGAGGAGCAUGCCUGUUUGAGUGUCGUGAAAUUAUCAACUCUCUUUCUUUUCGAAGUAAGAUGAGAUUGGACUUGGGGAUUGCUGGUUUCUAAUCAGCUUCCCUUGAAUGCAUUAGCUGGAAUUUGAUUCGCAGCAUAUAUGCGGUGUGAUAAUGUCUUCACUGUGUAGCUCGAGUCGUCUGGCUUCUAAUCGUCCUUCACGGGACAAUCUUGACAAUUAGACCUCAAAUCAGGUAGGACUACCCGCUGAACUUAA
rnacentral:misc_RNA from 1 species